ensembl:lncRNA
CAUCCAGCCUGGAUUUGAACACCUCCAGGGAUGGGGCAUCCACCACUUCUCUGGGCUGCCUGUGCCAGGACCUCACCACAAUCUCAGUGCAAAAAUCCCCCCAUUCUCUAAUCUAAAUCUCACCUCUUUUAAUUUGGAAUAGAUCCUUUUUGUGCCAUCCCUAUCUACCCAUGUAAAAAGGGGAGAUGUUUCUACCCUCUUGUUUCUAAGCUCUCUGUCAGUACUGGAAGGCUUCAGUGUGUUCCCCUCCAAGUUGUUUCUACACACAGCUCCGGAUUUUACUCACACUUUACUCCAGGUUUACUCACCCUUUACUCUGGGCUUAGGCACACCUUACUCUGGGUUUUACUCAGCCUUUACUCCAAGUUUGCUCAACCUCUACUCAGGUUUUACUCACCCUCUAUUCCAGGUUUUAACACACUUUACUCUGUGUUUUACUCCCCCUUUACUCCAGGUUUACUCACCCUUUACUCCAGGUUUACUCAACCUUUACUCUGGGUUUAGUCACAGCUUACUCUGGGUUUUACUCACUCUUUACUCCAGGUUUUACACACACUUUCCUCCGGGUUUUACUCACUUUUUUCUCUUGUUUUACUCAGCCUUUACUCCAGGUUUACUCAACCUUUACUCAGCUUUUACACACCCUUUAUUCCAGGUUUACACACACUUUACUCUUGGUUUGGAUGCACCUCACUCCGGGUUUUACUCAGCCUUUACUCCGGGUUUACUCACCCUUUACUCUGGGUUUAAUCGCACCUCACUCCGGGUUUUACUCACCCUAUACUCCAGGUUUAGUCACCCUUUACUCCGGGUUUUACUCACACUUUACUCCAGGUUUACUCAACCUUCACUCAGCUUUUACACGCACUUUAUUCCAGGUUUACACGCACUUUACUCUGGGUUUACUCACACCUUACUCCGGAUUUCACUCACCCUUUACUCCGGGUUUACUCAAUCUCUACUCCGGGUUUUACUCCCCCUUUACUCCAGGUUUACUCACCCUUUACUCCGGUUUUACACACCCUUUAUUCCACGUCUACACACCCUUUACUCUGGGUUUAGGCACACCUUACUCCGGGUUACACUCAGCCUUUACUCUGG